GCUAAAGACCGUCGUCAGGAACACCAAAACGGAAAACUCCACCCUGCAGCCACAGCGCAGGACAGAAAUGGAGACACAGUAUGCCAGCCUCCUGCAUGCUUAAAGAGGUAACACCAGAGGAUAAGGUGGUCAAAGAGAAGCACAAUGCCACAGUUACCAAGGCUCACCUGUUCUUGAUGAAGGAGGGAAAGUGUUUCCGUGGGAACCAGAGGGCAUAGCCAACGGCCAGCACCCAGAGAA